ACGUAUUUACACUGGGGUUGGGAUCUAGGGUUAGCUUAGGACGCAGAGGAGGAUUUCCCAGGAGGAAAUGGGAAAGGGGGAGGGAAACCCCACCCUGAUUGAAGAUGGAUUGCAACUAAAGCAAAUGAUGGAUAAAAAAAAAAUAAAAAAAAAUUGACGACUGCUCAAGAUUUCACGCACGAGAGAAAAAGAAAUACAAGGCAUGCACAUAUGUCAAUUGCUGUGAGGACACUGCAAACCUAUACCGGACAUUAAAAAUCUUAGAGGAACAUGAUGAUGAUGAUGAAUGCGAUCCUUUUGAUGGUCUACAGUCUUAACGUGAACUUCUCAUCUACGUACUGCUCUGCCGAACACCUGGACUCGAGUCUGGUGGAGGGUAGCAGAAAACGAAGGCCGCUCAUGCAUAAUUCAUCAAGCUCGUGACUACAUCAUGCAAGACCGAGUAAGAUGCCCUCUGCAUGUUCCCAAGGCUAUGGAGAUCAUCUCUGUAAACAAGAUAAGGUAAAAAUAGACAUGUUGUACAGACAGAGUUUUUUUUUUUGUUUUUUUUGCCUCUUAUUAUUUUCUCUUCUAUUAAUUAUUCACCUUGGAAAUAGAAUGAAAAAAAAAAAAGAAGAAGAAUUUUAAAAUCCAGUGAAACUUGAAUGUGGAAAAAACUUUAUGACCUCCAUCGCUACAUAACCGGGGGAUUAAAACACCACAGACAUGAAGAUAUUACCUAAUUCCAAUGUAUAUAUGGUCUCUAACUCCCUUACAAACAAUGAUAACCGAUCUGUUUCAUAUUUUAAAUUGAGCUCUGCUUUUUAUUUUUAUUUUUAUUUUUUCAUUUUAACAAUGGAAGUGUCAUGUUUUUGUGUGACACAUGCAAUGAAUCAAUAUAACACGUUUGUAGAAUAAAUCACUAUUGAUAACUGUUGUGUUUAACCGUUAGUCUGUUUUAAUGUAUUUAUUUAGUUUUACCUCUAGCGUGUGAUGUUCAGAGUAGUAUUGGUUUUGUCGAACACAAAUGCUACAAAGUAUGAAGAACAAAUAGAAAACACACAGUCAAAUUCUCACAUUCUUCUGAAAUAGCACUGGUUCAUGUCUACAGCAGAUUAACUAGAAUAAUGAACAUGAGUAGUGGAAAAACAAACACCGUUUAAAUGUUCAUGCCUGUCUACACAGCUCAUGAUGAACAAAACCUUCCAGUGUGUGCGUUACAAAUGUACUUGCUGCAACUGGUACACGCAGAAGGUGUUUUAUUGUUGGUCUGUUGGAACGCACUCCUUGGAAAGCUUCCUCUUUUUCACAAUGGUGAAAAGUCUUUGUUAGACAACUAAUACUCCUAAAAUGUUCAUAGAUACACGUGCAUGUGCGAAAACACACCACAUAGACUGAUCGCAAAAAAGUCACUCACACUUACUUUAUGCACAGGAAGUGG